CGAGUGGCGGACGGGUGAGUAAUGUCUGGGAAACUGCCUGAUGGAGGGGGAGUAACUACUGGAAACGGUAGCUAAUACCGCAUAACGUCGCAAGACCAAAGAGGGGGACCUUCGGGCCUCUUGCCAUCGGAUGUGCCCAGACGGGAUUAGCUAGUAGGUGGGGUAACGGCUCACCUAGGCGACGAUCCCUAGCUGGUCUGAGAGGAUGACCAGCCACACUGGAACUGAGACACGGUCCAGACUCCUACGGGAGGCAGCAUG
rnacentral:rRNA from 1 species